rnacentral:piRNA from 1 species
UAGCCCCAGCACUGCAGAGGUCAGCCUGA